rnacentral:rRNA from 1 species
GACAGAGGUGCCAAGCGUUAGGCGGAAUCACUGGGCUUAAAGCGUGUGUAGGCGGAUUCCUAAGUACCUUGUGAAAUCCCACGGCUCACCCGUGGAACUGCUGGGCAUACUGGCGAUCUUGGGCCAACUAGGGGCAACUGGAACAAGCGGUGGAGCGGUGAAAUGCGUAGAUAUCGCUUGGAACGCCAAAGGUGAAAACAGGUUGCUGGGGUUGUGCCGACGCUGAGACACGAAAGCCAGGGGAGCAAACGGG